rnacentral:lncRNA from 1 species
ACUUCUCGGGCCGAGACAAGGAGCGGUCGGCGGAGGCGGCUGCUACACCCCCUCCGCCCGCCAGCAGCAGCACCAGCAGCGGCCUCAGCACCACCACCAGCAAGGCCGCUGCUUCCACCGUGCUGCCGCCCCGCAAGCCGACCGCUCCCAAUUUCUCGGCCCUUGUGCGCGGGCGUCCGAUGGGCCCAGGGGAGCUGCAGGCCCGGAUCAGGAAACUGAUGACCCCAGCACGGCCUGCAGCUCCAGCGGUGUCUUCCGUCAGAGACCAGCGUCCCUCGGUUCCGCCGCCCCCCACCACAGAGGUGACGGACGAGGAGCUGGUCCGGAUGGUCACUGACGUGGAAAUGGGUAACUGGCACCACAUACAUACAUACAUACACACCACAACUGAUAUCUAUUCUUGAGUCAGUAUGUUUGUAUUAACUGUAACUUUUUAAUUUGCUGGUCGCUAAAGCUGAUGCCUGAAGGACAAAGGUAGGGUUAUCAGGUGAUGUAGCCGUCUUUGUUGGUGGUAGACGCGCCGUCCUCACUCACGUAGUGGUAAUGUGGAUUUGAUUAAACUCCCAGUCUAGCAAACCUCGCCUUGUAACUAACAUUCGCCUUGUAGCACACCUCUUAACGGUCGCCUUGUAGCACACCUCUUAACAGUCGCCUUGUAGCACUAAACCAUUUUAUCUAAUCAACGGCAUGCUGCACGUCAU